AUUCUCUCUCCUUCUCUUUUCCUUUGCCAUCUUCCUCUUCCUCAGGCAGCAAGACUCAUAAGUGAUCCACAUAAUCUAUUUCGGUGUUUCUGCCCUCCUGCUCAUAAACUUUGACAGUGGAAUUAGCACAUGAAGAGGUGGAGAUAGUUGGGCUUUUUCCUCUUCAACAUUGCUGCAAUAAUCUAAGAUAGGGCGUGGAAGAUAUUUGGCAAUGAAUGGACUAAAAUUGUAAGAGAUGUUUUAGGCAGCCUUCAAGCAUGACAAUGGAAGGAUGCACAAAGAGAAGCACCAAAGAUGGUGAUAAAUCCACACUGGUACAGGCGGUUAACAAAACCUGA